UGGAAUUGUCGGCGUUGAUGGAGACGAUUGACUGGUAGUAUUCCAUCGAUAUAUCAUACGAACACCGCCCGAAUCCGUGACAGUCGAAGAUAUACCUACAGGAUACCACCAUUAAAAUACAGGCUAAUAAUGGGACUGUCUGAAGAUUCAUAUUUUAUCUUUCAUAAUCCGCGGAUUGUCCGCAGGCGAUUAUCCGCCAGUGUAGAACAAGCCUUACACGCACGCAGCGAGAACUCGAAAGAACUGGAAAGUGAACGAGAGAUACGUUGUUUCCCUCGCGGCGUUCAUUUGCCGGAGGAAAAGGAGGGAAUAUGUAUAACGAUAUUCAAAAUUGCAUUAUGGACUAUUUUGAAUGGAUUCUAACCCUUCGAAGAGGGAGUUGAAUGAGAUGGCCCGGAGGCAGGUUGCUAAAGUCCCCAGAAUGCACGAAUGACUGACUUAACUGGAGUGGAUAGAGAGCGUCUGGGUCCAUGGGUCCAUAAAUAGACGUUACCACUUACCAUCAAUUCAAAGAGAGCACAAGAUUCGCGGAGCUUCGAAGCGAAUAAGUGAACAUACGUACGAAAGCCUCGGGCGCGUCACGAAGCGGCACCGAUAACCAACUGCCACCCAGUGGCGUAACUAGUCUUUUCAAGGUCGACCGAUGAGCACUACCAAUUUCGUACAUACGCCUCGUACCGUCCCGUGCCGUUCACUUUAACCCUUCACAGCCGGGGUGAAAACAGCGGUUAUGUAAUUGAAUAGGGUGGAGUCAAUUUGCCCUCGAGCAAGAAUAAAAAGCACGCAUUUCGUUUAUAAUUCGAUCGCAUUCGAAUCAGAUAACAUAGAGCUAAUGCUAAUAAAUAUGAUGUAAAACAAUAUUUUCGCAUGUAAGAAAAAUUAAUCUUGAUAUCUAAAGGUAGAAUGAUAAUUAUAUUUAAAAAA